UUGGAAUUCUUCAGGGGUAAAUGGUUUUGAGCUUGGAAUUCUUCAGGGGUAAAGGAUUUUGAGCUUGGAAUUUUGGAAUUCUUCAGGGGUAAAAGGUUUUGAGCUUGGAAUUCUUCAGGGGUAUAACAAUGAAAAACAUGUAUCCUCAACAGGGGGUGUACGGAUAUUAAAUGGAAUAGCCCAUUGUAUGUGUUUAUAGCACAUUGCAUGUCAAUUGCUGAUUUUUAGAAAUGCCAAUUUUUGAAAAGCAGUGUGCUAUAGAGGGCCCCCUAUACGUUUUGCGUGAAGCGUGAAGGGCUUGUUUUACUUAGCCGUGAAACGUAAUCAGGCCCCCUAUACUUUUUGCGUGAAGCGUGAAGGGCUUAUUUUACUUAGCCGUGAAACGUGAUCGAUGAUUUUCUUAAUCCGUGACUCGUGAAAAGGCAAAAUAUUUUUACGUGAAAGCAUAUUAUGAAGA